GACGAACGCUGGCGGCGUGCCUAGUACAUGCAAGUCGAGCGCUGAAGGGUGGUACUUGUACCAACUGGAUUAGCAGCGGACGGGUGAGUAACGCGUGGGGAAUCUGCCUUUGAGCGGGGGACAACAUCUGGAAACGAAUGCUAAUACCGCAUAAAAACUUUAAACACAAGUUUUAAGUGUGAAAGAUGCAAUUGCAUCACCCAAAGAUGAUCCCGCGUUGUAUUAGCUAGUUGGUGAGGGUAAGGCCCACCAAGGCGAUGAUACAUAGCCGACCUGGGAGGGUGAUCGGCCACAUUUGGACCUGGAAACGGGCCCAAACUCCUCGGGAGGGCGGAGUAGGGGAUCUUCGGCAAUGGACGGAAGUCUGAACGAGCCAAGCCGCGUGAGUGGAGGAGGUUUUCGGAUCGUUAAACUCCGGUUAUAGGGAAGAAAGAUGGGGGGAGUGGAAAGCUCAUAAAGUGACGGUACCUACCCAGAAAGCGACGGCUAACUACGUG
rnacentral:rRNA from 1 species